rnacentral:rRNA from 1 species
GACGAACGCUGGCGGCGUGCUUAACACAUGCAAGUCGAACGGAAAGGCCCUGCUUUUGUGGUGUUCUCGAGUGGCGAACGGGUGAGUAACACGUGAGUAACCUGCCCUUGACUUUGGGAUAACUUCAGGAAACUGGGGCUAAUACCGGAUCGGAGCUCCUGCUGCAUGGUGGGGGUUGGAAAGUUUCGGCGGUUGGGGAUGGACUCGCUUCUUAUCAGCUUUUUGGUGGUGUAGUGGCUUACCAUGGCUUUGACGGGUAGGCGGACUGAGAGGGUGACCGGCGAGAAGGGGACUGAGAGACGGCACAGAAUAGAAAGGGAGGAAAAAGUGGGGAAUAUUGAAAAAGGGGCGGAAGGAGGAUGAAGAAAAGCGGCGAGCGGGAUGACGGCCUUGGGGGUGAAAAAAGAGUUGGACUGAGACGAAGAGUGAGUGACGGUAAUGGGUAAAGAAGCACCGGCUAACUACGUG